rnacentral:rRNA from 1 species
UACGGAGGGGGCGAGCGUUAUUCGGAAUCAUUGGGCGUAAAGGGCGCGUAGGCGGCCCGGUAAGUCAAAGGUGAAAUCCCUCGGCUCAACUGAGGAACUGCCUUUGAGACUGUCGGGCUUGAGGCCGGGAGGGGGUGGCGGAAUUCCCAGUGUAGCGGUGAAAUGCGUAGAUAUUGGGAGGAACACCAGUGGCGAAGGCGGCCACCUGGACCGGUUCUGACGCUGAUGCGCGAAAGCGUGGGGAGCGAACAGG